UCCUGUCACAGUUGAUCAGCAUUGGAUCUUCCUAUAACUAUGGAAAUGAAGACCAGGCAGAAUUCCUCUGUGUCGUGUCCAGGGAGCUCAAUAACUCUACCAAUGGUAUUGUCAUAGAACCCAGUGAGAAGGCAAAGAUUCUUCAAGAGCGAGGAUCCCGGAUGUAAUUCCAGCAUCCGCUGUCAAAGCUCCCAGAUGUCAAAGGGCAGCCUAGCUGGGCAGAGCACCUCUCCGCAGUUCAACCUUGCCCUUGUACAGUAACCAAGCUAACACAAAGCAAAGCCGAGCCUGUCCUGCCAGUGACAAAGAAUUCUGGUCACAACCAAAGGCUUCCCUCUUACACCAGAAACCAAGGAAGGAAAAGACUUUUCCAAUUGGAUAGUCCUUUCCCUAAGUAUUUGUUUUGUUUUCGUGGCCAGCGCUGUAUUGAAUUUUUU